UACGGAGGGGGCAAGCGUUGUUCGGAAUUACUGGGCGUAAAGAGCGCGCAGGCGGUCGUUCAAGUCGCGUGUGAAAGCCCCCGGCUCAACUGGGGAGGGUCACGCGAUACUGAUCGACUCGAAGGCAGGAGAGGGAAGUGGAAUUCCCGGUGUAGUGGUGAAAUGCGUAGAUAUCGGGAGGAACACCAGUGGCGAAGGCGACUUCCUGGCCUGUUCUUGACGCUGAGGCGCGAAAGCUAGGGGAGCAAACGGG
rnacentral:rRNA from 1 species